UCUUUUUAUGUCGUUUCGCUUCUUCUACCUGCGCGCCAUCUUUCUUGAAAACUACUUUACCAACAGACUUUAGAUACGUACAUACGCCUUGAUACUUGAUAGACCAUUUUAUAUACCAAAAUUGCGGGAAACAUUCGUUAUUCUAAGAUCUAAAUUUAUAGUAAUUUAUAUUUAUUACGCCAAAUUCCUGCACGCUAUAUAAAUAUUAAAUUAGAAUAUAUAAAAUCAAUUGAAUUUGUCAAGACUUUCGUUAUGGUUUGAGCAAUUUUUUUUUUAAUAAGAAUAACAGCAACAAAAAUAAGUUUUAAUCUAGUGCUUUGAAAAUUAAACCUAUUCUUGAGUAUAUUUGGUGUGCAAAUUUCAUAAUAGCAUCGGAUUCACUAUAUCAGCUGUAGUUUUGACAUAUAGCAUAGAUAUUGAUAUGCAGAAAUUAUAAUUUAAUAAUAAAUGUACAUCAUGGCUUCCUCAAGAAGAAACUAUCUAAACCAUCCAAAUGUCUUUUCCUACUUGCAAAAGUCUCUGACUAUUGCAUUUUGAAAGAUAUUAAGAAACCUAUCCCUGAAUUUGUGAAGAGGGCAUAUUUUAGUUAUUUUCAUGUCAAACUUGGAGAUCAAGAAGGAAUCCUAAGAUCCUCAUUCAGAUUGCUAUUUUUGUCUUGUCAACAUCAAGAACAUCAAACGAAACAAUUGUAGCAAGUAGACAUAACCAGACCUAGAUUAAACAAGGAAGAUACAAACAAUAUGGAAAGACUAACAAUCAUGCAAGCAUCUGGUGUACGGAAAAUAUUACCUGUAUUGCCAUUUUGUAAGCCACACUAUCAAAGCUGAGGCAAUUACAUUGACAGAACCCACUGCAUCGGACAAUACAUGAAGGAACACACCACGCAUAUUCAUUUGACUUGCAUCAUGUGUAUGGCCAUGUGUUCUUUUUACUUGUGCCGUUGGUGGUCUGUAAGUGUUGUCAUUUUCAUUGUCAUCUGUGCCUACUAAUGUGCUUAGUCUGUUAUGACUACGUGAUAUACCAUGCGAAUGAUCGUGAGAACUUCCAUGUUCUGUAAUAAUAAAAUGUUAAAUAAGUAUUUAUAUUUCUUUUUCUAUUACGAAAAGAAAAAAAUGUGAUAUCCAUUUAUUUAGGCAAUUGAUUGAAAGUAGGAUAAUUGUUCCCAAAUAAAAAUAGGACGUUUCCUAUUUUCAAUAUUCUUUUAAUCAUUUUACAACGAUAAAAAUAAAGCGGAUAACUAAUCCAACAAAUUUAAGAAGCCACAUACAAAUCAUGUAUAAUUAAUUUAUGAUUAACUGACUACUUCGGAGCUCUUAUAACAGAUAAUACAAUAAAACAAUUUAAACUUA